GUGAGUAAUGCCUAGGAAUCUGCCUGGUAGUGGGGGACAACGUUUCGAAAGGAACGCUAAUACCGCAUACGUCCUACGGGAGAAAGCAGGGGACCUUCGGGCCUUGCGCUAUCAGAUGAGCCUAGGUCGGAUUAGCUAGUUGGUGAGGUAAUGGCUCACCAAGGCUACGAUCCGUAACUGGUCUGAGAGGAUGAUCAGUCACACUGGAACUGAGACACGGUCCAGACUCCUACGGGAGGCAGCAGUGGGGAAUAUUGGACAAUGGGCGAAAGCCUGAUCCAGCCAUGCCGCGUGUGUGAAGAAGGUCUUCGGAUUGUAAAGCACUUUAAGUUGGGAGGAAGGGCAGUAAGCUAAUACCUUGCUGUUUUGACGUUACCGACAGAAUAAGCACCGGCUAACUCUGUGCCAGCAGCCGCGGUAAUACAGAGGGUGCAAAGCGUUAAUCGGAAUUACUGGGCGUAAAGCGCGCGUAUGUGGUUUGUUAAGUUGGAUGUGAAAGCCCCGGGCUCAACCUGGGAACUGCAUCCAAAACUGGCAAGCUAGAGUAUGGUAGAGGGUGGUGGAAUUUCCUGUGUAGCGGUGAAAUGCGUAGAUAUAGGAAGGAACACCAGUGGUGAAGGCGACCACCUGGACUGAUACUGACACUGAGGUGCGAAAGCGUGGGGGAGCAAACAGGAUUAGAUACCCUGGUAGUCCACGCCCUAAACGAUGUCUACUAGUUGUCGGGUUUUAAUUAACUUGGUAACGCAGCUAACGCGUGAAGUAGACCGCCUGGGGAGUACGGUCGCAAGAUUAAAACUCAAAGGAAUUGACGGGGACCCGCACAAGCGGUGGAUGAUGUGGAUUAAUUCGAUGCAACGCGAAAAACCUUACCUACCCUUGACAUGUCCAGGAGCCCGAAGAGAUUUGGGUGUGCCCGAAAGGGAGCUGGAACACAGGUGCUGCAUGGCUGUCGUCAGCUCGUGUCGUGAGAUGUUGGGUUAAGUCCCGCAACGAGCGCAACCCUUGUCGUUAAUUGCCAUCAUUUAGUUGGGCACUUUAACGAGACUGCCGGUGACAA
rnacentral:rRNA from 1 species